GGCCACUGCCACUUGCAAUGUCUCGGUCGUGGGUUCGUCAUCCUGUUGUGCGUCAUUCUAAGCCGUUCUGUACGUUUAUACUGGAUAUUAACUGGAGUCAUUUAGCUGUGCUGAUGCUGUGUGCCGUGUGUUUUUGCGUCAGUGCUUCGUGACAUCGGCUGUGUUGCGUGUUUUCGCCGACGGCUUACUACCACAAUGGCGGGAUCUGCGUUCGCCGCCUUCGUGUCUCGGUGCGUCUUUGUACGUCGCACGUUCGGAUAGCACUUUUUCCGACGGCUGGACAUCCUUGUACCUUGGCGCUAGCUGGAUAACGGGACCUCAUCAUGAUCAGUGUCUUGUAACAUGCAACGUACAAGCAAUUCACUAAUGGAUGGUAUGCCGAAGAACUCGCCAUUAUUUCUGCGUGAUGCUGUGCAAGCAUGUGGCGUUACCUUACAAGAGGCACCCACAAAGUAAGUUACAAUUUACUUUUAAAUGAAGCAUGGACAUCAGAAAAAAUAUGUUUAUAUUGCUAGUUAGAGUGGUUCGCAGAGUGUCUUUCCAGAUGGGUACUAUCCUUUAUUUCUUAACUCAUUGCAGCACAGUGGCUAUUGUGCCCCUUGUAGCUGAAACCAGGAUGUAAUUUUUGCCUGAACUGCAGCAUCACUGACAAAAUUUUUUUCUAGAAACUAUUUCAGUUUGGUGGAGACCCAGCAGGGCGAUGUUUUGUCAGUAAUGACGUGUUUCACGCAGAGAUGUUCUUGUUUAGGUCAAUGAGUGAACAUUGGAAUUAUAUCAGCAUACAAUACAGAUCUUGUUUUAUUUGCAAAAUAAUUCUGACAGGUGGCGUUCAAUUGAUUGGUCUAAUUAAAAAGCACAAAUUGACCAAUAAGGCUGUACUGCACUAUUCCCAUGGUUCACAUCUGGAAAAACUAC